rnacentral:lncRNA from 1 species
ACACAAGCCCCUCGACGUUCGAAUUCAGGCAAAACGACGCAUAAAAUAUUAGAUUUUUCGCGAAUUUUUCAUUUUUGCCAAUUCCACCCCUCAACGAACAUUUCACGCUUUUUGAAGAUUCGUCCGUCAGAUUUUCGAUCGAAUCACGCCAUCGCGUUCAGCACGAUUGGGGCAUCGAAUCUACUAUUUCGUUUCGUCCGAUUUGCUCGCCAAUUUGCGACUAAACCCAUCCACUCUCCAACUUUCCAACACCAUACUUAAAUAUAUGUGUAAAACCCAUAAACUCCCUUUUUCUCGAAAAUCGUGCAUCAAAUCUACAAUC